rnacentral:lncRNA from 1 species
GGCAUUUGCUGACCUAGACCCGGGGCAGGAAGUCUAAACUCUGAGUGGAGGAUCUCCAAUUAAACAGGUCAAUAAUACCUUUGGCACCACAAAGACUUUCCCUCUAGAGCAAGAGAGGCUGGGAGAGAUGAUCGUAGGGUGAUUCACAAGAUAUGCUGGGCUUGAGAAUAGAAGUACACGCUGCUCGUGGGACUUUUAAGAUAUGGAUUUAAGACAAGUAGAAUCACCUGCCAUACUGGCAGAGAUACAUUUCAUGCUUGUGGAAGCAGGAUCAGACUUGUUUGGAGCCAAUCAUAGGAGGAAGUUCCCACAAGACAGAGUGUGGUUGACAACUUUCGAACAAUCUAAACUGUUGAAACAUGGAGCCAGGCUGCCUCUGAGAAAGUCACGAUGUUCUAGGCAAAGCUCCCUGUUGAUGUACAUCUCUCAUGCAAGAUUUAGAUCACCUCUUUUCGGGCAGAGCUCCAUGGAAACACCGCCCAUGAUUUCUGAAAUGGAGUCUGAUUGGGUCCUGGUAAUGCCCAGCUGGAGUCGACAGUGAUCUCUGCAGUUGACACAUUGCUGGACAGUUGGCAAGGCUGAGACUACCAGAAUGUAGUCCUUGGAGGCUAUUAUUAUUUUAAUGCCAUAGUAAAUUCCUGUUUACCUAAGGUGGCUAGGCAAUGGGGUAUUCUGGGCAAUGGAAAAUUUUGGUUCAUCUGGUUAUUACCAUCUGUAUCAUUUACUGAUUCUUGGUUUCCAAAGAAGUAAAUUACGACAUACCUUGUAAACACUAAAAUCAUGCACUGGUGUGAUAUAAGCUUUCUUUGAUAAUUUAUGAGCUACUUCAGGAUCUAUUAAUGUUCAAUACCAUCGUGAAGAUUGUAACCUCUUUUUCUGGAAUCCUGGGUGGAAACGCAGAAGGUUGGAACGCUG